rnacentral:ncRNA from 1 species
GAGUAGAGGUGCAAGUAUCAUCAGUAGGUCUUUGGACACUGUAAGGAGUGGAGGAAGGAGACCGAAAGGGAGAUUGCCGAAGAACGUAUCUGCCUUAAGGAUAGGUUUCUGGGCAUGCAGUGAAGAACUGUAUGACUGUCAUCGUAAGAUGGAGAGCUACGC